rnacentral:rRNA from 1 species
CCCUCUCUAGUUUUCUCCCGCCUAUAUACCACCGUCGCCAGCUUACCCUGUGAAGGCCUAAUAGUAAGCACAAUUGGCACAGCCCAAAACGUCAGGUCGAGGUGUAGUGCAUGAGAGGGGAAGAAAUGGGCUACAUUCGCUGCCCGCCAGCGAAUACGAACGAUGCAUUGAAACAUGCAGCUGAAGGAGGAUUUAGCAGUAAGCAGAAAACAGAGCGUUCCGCUGAAACCGGCUCUUAAGCGCGCACACACCGCCCGUCACCCUCCCCGAGCACCUGGACCUAAAUUUUUUAAACCCUAACAAACGCGAAGGAGAGGAAAGUCGUAACAUGGUAAGCGUACCGGAAGGUGCGCUUGGUUAAAU